UACGGAGGGUGCAAGCGUUGUUCGGAAUUACUGGGCGUAAAGCGCACGUAGGCGGCUUUGUAAGUUAGAGGUGAAAGCCCGGGGCUCAACCCCGGAAUAGCCUUUAAGACUGCAUCGCUUGAACACGGGAGAGGUGAGUGGAAUUCCGAGUGUAGAGGUGAAAUUCGUAGAUAUUCGGAAGAACACCAGUGGCGAAGGCGGCUCACUGGACCGUUGUUGACGCUGAGGUGCGAAAGCGUGGGGAGCAAACAGG
rnacentral:rRNA from 1 species